rnacentral:rRNA from 1 species
AUUGAACGCUGGCGGCAGGCCUAACACAUGCAAGUCGAGCGAGCGGCGGAAGGGUGAGUAAUGUCUGGGAAACUGCCUGAUGGAGGGGGAUAACUACUGGAAACGGUAGCUCAUACCGCAUACACUCACAUGUGUCCAGAUGGGAUUAGCUAGUAGGUUGGGUAACGGAUCACCAAGGCGAGGGUCCCUAGCUGGUCUGAGAGGAUGACCAGCCACACUGGUGCUGAGACACGGUCCAGACUCCUACGGGAGGCAGCAGAGGGGAAUAUUGCACAAUGGGCGCAAGCCUGAUGCAGCCAUGCCGCGUGUGUGAAGAAGGCCUUCGGGUUGUAAAGCACUUUCAGCGGGGAGGCGUUACCCGCAGAAGAAGCACCGGCUAACUCCGUGCCAGCAGCCGCGGUAAUAC